rnacentral:lncRNA from 1 species
UUUUGUGUGUGUGUGUGUGCACAUCCAUGUAUCCUAGCAGGAGCAAAAAGAAUCAUAUUAAUGAGUGGGGCUUCUCUAACUGCCCAUUUAAAUUCACAUCCAUAUUUUCUCACAGCUUUUCUCCCCUAAUGCCUAAAGACAUUAUUUGUCUGACUGACUGGGGGUAAUAAAUGAAUGGUCCUGAGCCUUUUUGGAAACGUGGUCUCUGCCACUGUUUCUCAAACAGAAAAAUUUGUCAAGAUGCAACACCUCAAUUUUUUUUUGAGAUCCUAAAGAGUAUGUGUUUUGAGAAACACUGACUUAAAGUUAUUUGAAAUGAAAACAUGUUUUUCAAUUUCAAGUUAUCUUUGUUGAAGACAUAAUUUAUAUAAUUUAUGUAGAACUUAGGGAUCCAUGAUAAUAUAUCCACAAACCCCCAGGGUUCUUAUCACCCCAAUUUGAGAAACACUGGUCUAUGCUUAUGAGAUCUUUUAUUGCUACUAACCUAAGCGAAUUAUUCAUUAUUAACACACAACAAUAACUACUUGUUGGAAUUUUUUUAAAGGGAUGAAUUCUGAGCCGGUACCCCCACCUCAAGAGGAAGGAUGGAUCAAUUUUAGGUGAAUUGAAGCCUAUACUAAACAGCCUCCAAAGGAUAUUCCAAGCAAGUGAGCCCUGAGACUGCAAGCAGCUCUAAGAAGUUCCGCAUUGAUCAGGUCUUCCCUUUUGAGAAUCUGGAUAAGCUCCAACCAAUCUAAAAGGAUGGUUUGCAGACUGUCUGGAGAAAAAGGAAAACAGGGACAACAACUGCCAUAUCUUACAUUCAUCAUGACAUUCAUCAUGAGCAGAUCAUAAUUCUGGACCCUUUGAUCCCCAAAGCCUCCCUUGAGGCCCUGUUGGAGAACUUCACCAAUCAUUUAUAUACUUCAAGAUGCCUUGGGAUAACUGGACAAAACAAAAAAACAACCUGUUUGAGAAGAUAAAACAGUUGUAUCUUUUUAUGCUGUGCCUGCUAAUUGAAAGAAGCCUCAUAACUAUGAAUGUGAACCUGACUAGGAAUGGAACAAAGUUAUCUAUCAUCAGCCUGGAUCUAAAGAAUCAGGACCCUGCAUACUCUAGCUCCUGA